GCGCCGCUAGCUCAGUUGGUUAGAGCAGCUGACUCUUAAUCAGCGGGUCCGGGGUUCAAGUCCCUGGCGGCGCA
rnacentral:tRNA from 1 species